CAGAACACAGCAUUUGAGAGUUCUUCGGUCACCACGCACGGAGCAGCAAGAAGCAGAAGCACUUGGUUCAGUUCUGGGUCGACGCAGUGUGCCAUGGAACAAGGGAAUGGAUUCACGGGGGAGAGGAACGGAUUCUGCUCCAGCAGUGGGAACACGGAGGAGCCCCUGAGUCUCCAGGGGGGAGGAGUGUCCCCCCACCCAGAGAUGUCUGGGGCUACAGGAAGAAGGAUGCACAGAAGAGUCCUGGGUGAGUACAGAGUCCCCUGGGUGGCCUCUCAGAAGGGACAGUGUCCCCGUGGCAGUGUCACCUCAUGAGGACUGGGGCUGGCAAGUCUGGGGCUUCUUCCAGAUGUCUAGAAAAUGCUUCAUAUUCUGCUUGGUCUCAUCGGAGGAGCUGUAGCAGCCCCCCAUCUCCAUCUCCCUGGCAGCUCUCCUGCUGCGGGCUGUCCCCCAGUGUGUGUGGGGUGACAGCCUUGUCCCUGCUCUGUGUAACUGUCCCUUGCUGCCAGCUGGGAAUGGCCCCAUGGCAGUUCCUCUGCCCGGGGAGGGGACUGAGAGGGAGGAGCGGCUGCCUCCUUCCCUGCCCCACGGAGCUGUGUCCCCUGGUCCCUGCGCAGCCCAAUCCUCUGCCCUUCUCCCCUUCCCUCUCCAGCAAGAACACGUGGAGGGGAUCCAGCUGUGCCUGUGGCUCCGGUGCUGGCGUGUCCUGAUGGCUGGGUCGGGUACCACAAUGUCUGCUACUACCUCUCGAGGGACCAGGGGAGCUGGGAGUGGAGCCAGGAGCAGUGCUCCUCGCGUGGGGCCUCACUGGCCGUGCUGAGGAGGGAGUGGGAAAUGGAGUUCCUCUCACGCCUGAAGGGCAACAUCGAUUACUGGAUUGGUCUGCGGAGACGGGGCGAGCACCUGGAGUGGGUGGACGGCAGCAGCUUCAACCAGACGUGAGUCCCGUUGGGAGCUGGGGCUGUGGGAAGAGCGUCCUGUGGUGGGACGGGCAGGGUCCUGGUGGGAGGUGUGUGCUGGGGCUGUCCCUUGCAGGCAGCCCUUGUCUCCUACUGGGGCUCGUGGGGACAACCCUGACCCCCACAGUACCAGUGGUGUCUGUGCUGCUUGUUGCAGGAUCCCAGUGGUGGGCGAAGAACCUUGUCUGUUCUUCAGUGACCGUGAUUUCUGGGGUGCUGGCUGCUCCCAACCACGGCCUUAUCUCUGCAGCAAACCUAUGCUCCAGUGAGAACCACUCGACAGAAGUGGUGGAGAAAGUCCAUGGUGGGGACUCACAGCUUCCCCUCUUCCAGCAGCACAGAGUGGAGCAGGGAUGUCCUUCCCUCAGCUGCUGCUCUGGUUGCUCCUGGUCUCAGCAGAAACUCGCUGCCAGCUCUCAGAUGAACCUGCGGGUCGGGAGCUGUGGUGGGAGCUGCCAUGUGCCUGCCUGUGCUGGGACUUCAACCAUGGAACUGGUUUCUUUCUCCUCCUGGGACUAUUGCAGAACUCUUCUUGUUUGUGCCACAAGUGCCUCACUAGUGUGAGGUAGAACAGAACCAACUUUCUCUUCAGUCAUUUUAUUUCUUAUCUAAUCUUCUGAAAUUACCAGAAUAUUUUGUAAGAAUUAACAGGUUUUUUCUUAGAGAGGUAGGACCAAUGUUGAUAGUUCCUGCCAAGGAAUGGGGUGCAGAGAGGCUCUUGCUUCUAUUUACUGCUCUAACAACCAAGGUAACUCUGUUAUUUGCCCCACUGGAGGGUUAGAAGCAGAAAAGCAUAGAGGUGUUGCUACUGUGAGGAGGAGCAGGCAGGAUGGGGGCCCCAAAAGUGACCACGGGGUGUUCCAUCCCAUCUGCCCCACGCUCAGUGUGAAAGGUGAGGGAUCAAAGGGUCAGCUCUUUCUUCAAUGGCUGGCAUCUGAGGAGGGCCCUGUCUGUUCGGCUGUCUUCGAUCCAGGUCCCUGUGUUCCUUGCUGAAUCCACUCUGGGACUUCCCUAAUGCUUUCAGUGAGGUCUUCCUGGGAGCUUGGUAUAGAUUGUAUCUAUUCAUUAUUUUCAUUGAAGUAGUUGCUUCUAAGC
rnacentral:lncRNA from 1 species